GACGAACGCUGGCGGCGUGCUUAACACAUGCAAGUCGAGCGACGCUCUUCCUUCGGGGCGAUGACGGAGCGGCGAACGGGUGAGUAACACGUGGGCAACCUGCCCCUAGCUCUGGGACAACACCGGGAAACCGGUGCUAAUACCGGAUACGACAUCGAGCGGCACCUCUCGAUGUGGAAAGUUUUUUCGGCUAGGGAUGGGCCCGCGGCCUAUCAGCUUGUUGGUGGGGUAAUGGCCCACCAAGGCGACGACGGGUAGCCGGCCUGAGAGGGCGACCGGCCACACUGGGACUGAGACACGGCCCAGACUCCUACGGGAGGCAGCAGUGGGGAAUAUUGCGCAAUGGGCGAAAGCCUGACGCAGCGACGCCGCGUGAGGGAUGACGGCCUUCGGGUUGUAAACCUCUUUCAGCAGGGACGAAUUCAGACGGUACCUGCAGAAGAAGCACCGGCCAACUACGUG
rnacentral:rRNA from 1 species